GACGGAGGGGGCUAGCGUUGUUCGGAAUUACUGGGCGUAAAGGGCUCGUAGGCGGCCAACUAAGUCGGACGUGAAAUCCCUCAGCUUAACUGGGGAACUGCGUCCGAUACUGGAUGGCUUGGAUUUGGGAGAGGGAUGCGGAAUUCCAGGUGUGAGCGGUGAAAUGCGUAGAUAUCUGGAGGAACACCGGUGGCGAAGGCGGCAUCCUGGACCAAUAUUGACGCUGAGGAGCGAAAGCCAGGGGAGCAAAGCGGG
rnacentral:rRNA from 1 species